AUCUCUGCUAUCAGGUGACUAUUAUUGAGAGUCUUGUUGGAACAAAACGACGAGGAGACGCCGAAAACAAAUGUGCUCGAGUUGUCUAACGAUCUGUAUCACUGAUUCCUAUUGACAACUAAACCAACUAUGAAAGCAAUGUGCCUUCAGGCGAUGACUAAAGUUUAUGGAAAAUAUCACGAAGAGAUUGG
rnacentral:lncRNA from 1 species